rnacentral:rRNA from 1 species
CAGCCGCCGCGGGAAUACGAAGGGUGCAAGCGUUAAUCGGAAUUACUGGGCGUAAAGCGUGCGUAGGCGGUUUGUUAAGUCUGUCGUGAAAUCCCCGGGCUCAACCUGGGAAUGGCAAUGGAUACUGGCAAGCUAGAGUGUGUCAGAGGAUGGUGGAAUUCCCGGUGUAGCGGUGAAAUGCGUAGAGAUCGGGAGGAACAUCAGUGGCGAAGGCGGCCAUCUGGGACAACACUGACGCUGAGGCACGAAAGCGUGGGGAGCAAACAGGAUUAGAUACCCCGGUAGUCCCUGUCUCUUAUAC